rnacentral:rRNA from 1 species
UCGGUGGUGAGCGAUAGCAAAGAGGUCAUACCCGUUCCCAUACCGAACACGGAAGUUAAGCCCUUCAGCGCGGAUGGGAGUGGGGGCUUGCUCCUGUAUAAGUAGGACGUUGCCGGGC